GACGAACGCUGGCGGCGUGCUUAACACAUGCAAGUGGAGCGACGAACCAGGCUUGCCUGGGGCAAAGCCGCGAACGGGUGAGUAACACGUGGGUAAUCUGCCCCGAUGACCGGGACAACCCGAGGAAACUCGGGCUAAUACCGGAUGUGGUGCACACACAUAUGUGUGUUUACCAAAGGAAGCUUCGGCCUCCGCAUCGGGAGGGGCCCGCGGCCCAUUAGCUUGUUGGUGGGGCAUGGCCUACCAAGGCGACGAUGGGUAGCUGGUCUGAGAGGACGAUCAGCCACACUGGGACUGAGACACGGCCCAGACUCCUACGGGAGGCAGCAGUGGGGAAUCUUGCGCAAUGCGCGAAAGCGUGACGCAGCAACGCCGCGUGAGGGAAGAAGGCCUCGGUUGUAAC
rnacentral:rRNA from 1 species